rnacentral:rRNA from 1 species
UACGGGGGGGGCAAGCGUUGUUCGGAAUUACUGGGCGUAAAGGGCUUGUAGGCGGCCAACUAAGUCAGACGUGAAAUCCCUCAGCUUAACUGGGGAACUGCGUCUGAUACUGGAUGGCUUGAGUUUGGGAGAGGGACGCGGAAUUCCAGGUGUAGCGGUGAAAUGCGUAGAUAUCGUUUGGAACGCCAAUGGUGAAAACAGGUAACUGGGAGUGUGCCGACGCUGAGACGCGAAAGCCAGGGGAGCGAACGGG